UUAUUACUUCUUAUAUUAGAAAAGGCAUAAUCAACAUGCUUGCUUCAAGGUUAUUUUUAAAGGCAUAAUCAACAUGCUUGCUUCAAAGUUAUUUUGGUCUUUACAAUGCUUGCUUCAAGGGUUAUUUUAGUCUUUACAAUUAAAUAUAUGGCUAGCUGUCUUCUCUUUGUUAUUCAAGGGUUAUUUUAGUCUUUACAAUUAAAUAUAUGGCUAGCUAUCUUCUCUUUGUUAUUCAAGGGUUAUUUUAGUCUUUACAAUUAAAUAUAUGGCUAGUUGUCUUCUCUUUGUUAAACAAUUUUGCCUUUUCAUUUUCUCAGCUAACGUGUCUUCUUCUGGUAAAAUGGAAAUGCAUGUCCUCCUCCUCCUAUGUCUUCCUCCUGAUUCUUCAUUUAUAAUGAUUCCCUAUUUGCACAUGGAAAUUACUCUCUUCAUCCUUCUCUUGAGACCCUUUUAAUCCCAAAGGCCUUUCAUGAUUUUUUGAUAAAGUUUUUGCGUGCAGUGUGAAGAUAGGAAUUUGCAAUUACUACUACUGCAGUUUCGGCGCUACAGGAAACUCAAAUACAAGUUAUCAUGCACGGUACUGAUAUCGCACAUUAUGCAAAUGAGUUUGUUCCUUUCCAAACAUAUUUGCUAUCAAGGGCAUUUGUCUCUGAGUCAAUCAAGGCGUAUGGAAUACCUCUUCAUCAAUUCAGCUGGAAAAUUGAUAAGGGCACAAUUGUUGAACCAAUAGAUAAAGUCAUACCCCCUGAAGAACCAUUGCUGCCACCAACGCUGCUAAAAACUACAUCGUUUGACAGUUUCGAUUAUCAAGCUAUAGGCUUUGAAUUCAGUAUUUCUCAAAAUAUAUUUAAAGUAUACUUACCAGACAUAUAAUUCAUUUUUCAUAACUAUUACCACUUACUAAUAACUCUUUAAUUCUUGCAAGACAUUCUUGCCCUCGUGAUAAAUGGUAGUCCUCCAUCAUAUGCCUCAAACGGAAGCAGAAUUCAAGAAUUCAUCAUCAUUGACUAUGAGUAAGUACAAUGUUACUUUUCAUCUUAUAUCCUUCUGUUUUCUAUGUGCUUGUGUCAAAUAACUGGAUUUUUUUAUUAAUGAAUAGUGAUGUCAUCUUCCUUUUCGUCAAAGUUGAAGGUGCAAAUUUGAUCUAGGUGUCUUAUUGACCCUCUUUCUUGGAAAGUAAAUUUUUUAAAAAAAAUUCGCUUCUCUGUGAUUGCAAGCAUCUCAUAUUUGAAUGUUACCUUACCAUGGUAUAUAGCUUGAUCUAAGUAUCUAAGAUUUCACUCAAUUUCGCAAAGUUUUCUGCUGCAUCUACUUCUUCAUUCAUAAUGUUGCCCAAAAGAGAAAAGAAAAAAAUAAAUAAGGAGAAAAAGAUAAGUUGUUUACCACAUAUUGAUAAAAAGUGUCCAAUUAUCGCAUGGAUUGUUCAAAUUUCCUUUACAAAUCACUAACUGGAUGCUAUGGAAUUGGGAAUGGAGGAUGAGGUUGAUCUUCUGAUUUUGAUUUUAUUGUAUAGCUUGAUAUAUCGGAUUUAUCUAAUUGUGGUGCACUUAAACUUGCGGCACAUCUAUUGUUAUUAAUGUUUGAUUAUCCUUCUGAUUGACUGAUUAACUUGAUCAAGAGUGACAAAUAUAAUAUGCCAAGACCCAUAGACAACACUAACCAGCCACUUUAAUGGAAGAAUUAGUCAAUUCUAUUUGAAUGUUACCUUACCAUGGUAUAUAGCUUGAUCUAAGGAUCUAAAAUUUCACUCAAUUUCGCAAAGUUUUCUGCUGCAUCUAUAUCUUCAUUCGUAAUGUUUCCCAAAAGCGAAAAGAAAAAAAUAAAUAAGAGAAAAAUUGGUUACCACAUUUUGAUAAAAAUUUUCCAAUUAUCGCAUGGAUUAUUCUAAUUUCUUUUGCAAAUCAGUAACUGGAUGCUAUGGAAUUGGGAGUGGGGGAUAGGGGUGAUCUUCUGAUUUUGAUUUUAUUGAAUAGCUUGAAAUAUCAGUUUUAUCUAAUUGCGGUGUACUUAAACUUGCAGCACAAGUAUAGUUAUUAAUGUUUCAUUAUCCUUUUGAUUGACUGAUUAAACUUGAUCUUUAGUCAAUUCUAUUUGUGUUUUCUGCUGCAUCUAUUUCUUCAUUCAUAAUGCUUCCCAAAAGCGAAAAGAAAAAAAUAAAUAAGGAGAAAAAGAUAAGUUGGUUACCACAUUUUGAUAAAAAGUUUCAAAUUAUUGCAUGGAUUGUUCUAAUUUUCUUUGCAAAUCAGUAACUGGAUGCUAUGGAAUUGGGAAUGGGGGAUGGGGUUGAUCUUCUGAUUUUGAUUUUAUUGAAUAGCUUGAAAUAUCAGAUUUAUCUAAUUGCAGUGUACUUAAACUUGUAGCACAACUAUAGUUAUUAAUGUUUGAUUAUCCAUUUGAUUGAUUGAUUAAACUUGAUCUAGGUUUGUCAAUAUUAUCAAAUUUGAUUAUGGCGACAUAUUAAUGGUUAACUUGUAAGCUCAUUCUUAUAAGGAAUGUCAUGCACAUUGUUGGUAUUCAAGAGUGACAAAUAUAAUAUGCCAAGACCCAUAGACAACACUAACCAACCACUUUAAUUGAAGAAUUAGCCAAUUCUACAGGUUGCUCUCUAAAAAAAAAGGGAACACCUAGCUAUUUGAACAAUCUAAGUAUGCUUACUAUGUCUUUGUUUAGCCAGAAUUCUUCUUCUACUUAUGACCAAAAGGAAUACCCUUCGAUAAGACAAGGGAUCAUCAACUUCAGGUAAAAAUUUUUUAUUGCUAACAUGUGCCAAUAUCUAGCAGUUUCUGUAUGUAAAUAUCACUUGAGAUGAAUGAAUUACUUUGGCAACAUUUUUAUCUAAUAUGAGUUCAAUAUACUAGCUAUUUGUCUCCCCUCCAUUUUCAGCUUUCACAAGCACCACCAGUUCCACUACCCUCCCCGCUUACCAUCUCCUUUACAUAUUUGGCAUUUUAGAUGUUACUUGAUUACCACUAUUAAUACUAUACCAUUUGUAAGCCUAACUUUAAUGUAAUGUUUAUCAGAAAGAUGUUGCUUUUGAUCUAUGAUAAUUGCGGACCAGAAUAAAAAAGACAAUAUAAAUAAUUAUUAAAGUUGUUGAGUAAUUCUAAUUGCCGGUCAAAAUUCAUCCUAUAAAGUUAAAAAAAACUACAAACCUAAUAACGGAUCUCAUAGUGUUCACCAAGGUCUUGCAAUUUCAGCUUUCUCUUUGAUCCUAAUUGGAAAACAACAGUAGGAAUGUUGCAUCCUACUUUGAUGAUAUUCAUUUUAUUUGUGUAUAUACAACAAUUGUAACACAUUUUUCUUUACUUUCUUUCAUGAACUUUUUCCCAAAUUUGCUUGCAUCUGUGUAAGUUAUGAUCUAUUAUAACACUGUUUAUCUUUUUUUUAAAAUGAAAAUAGGAGGAAACCAACAAAACUCACUCUCUGGGAAGAAUUCAUUGACCUAUAUGGAAAUAAACUUCUCAAACAUCUGAAAGAACUUCAAGAAUUUCCAGUAAUUAUUGCCAGAAAAGUGGCCAAAUCAAAAUCAUCUUCAGAUUUGGUACAAUAAUCCAGAUUGAUCCUCCAUACCCACAAGCUAUCUCAUUAAAGACAUGGUCUGAUGAAAUAAAAUCGAUUCUCAACACAUACACAACAAAAAGCACCACAGCUACAGGCUCUCUCCUGUUUGUGCCAUUUGAAGAACACAUAGUGCCUAUUGUCAACAUCCAGCAACAAUCUUUGGGGCAAGUAUUCCACGUGCAAGCUCAAUUGUUAAUAUCCAAUGAAACUUAAAAAUUCUGUGUCUUAGUCUGCUCUUACUGCAAGCAAGUAUUUCCAAGGAUUUGGACAGAGAGAACAUUCUAUUGUACAACCUGCCGUCGAUCAACACAACUCACACCAAGAUGCCAGUUUGAAGUAACCAUCAAGGAUUAUACUGGUUCAACAACAGCCAUGAUUUCAGAUAAAAUUGGAGAAGAACUAUUGUCUCUAACUGUAGCAGAAAUUCAUGACAUACGCUGCAUCACGUUUUUGAGUGAGUUUCUUCCAUCUUUCAAAAACAACUGUUGUCACUUGUAUCCGUGCAACACAAACUGCUAGGUGAGAAUUCAACGUCCAAAUAAAGAAGUUGUUUGCCAAAAACAAGGACGCAUCUUCAGCAAAACUGUUUAUCAUGUCAAUCAUCGCGAAAGAUGUUGUUAGCAAUCUGCCACUGCCCAUCAACGCACCAACAACUCCAGAAAGCAGUAAACGCAAGCUCAAGCAAAUCAUAAUAAAAAGAAGACUAAAAGUGUAAUACUUUUUUGCAAUAUGGUUGGCAACACCAUUUUGUCUUGAUGGCGUACACUUUUGGUGCUGAUAGCAUGGACUCUGCUGCAUAAUUAUAAGAAAUUGACAGGUGCUUUUUGAAUGAUGCUGACUAAUAGUCAAAAUGCAGCAUUAUGUAAAUAUUGUACAUAUCCAACCUAAAUAACACAGCCAUGACAACGAACAAAACAACCGCCAACCAUAUUUCAUAUAUAUAUAUAAUAUAUCUAUCCAUCUCUCUCU